rnacentral:rRNA from 1 species
UACGGAGGAUGCAAGCGUUAUCCGGAUUGAUUGGGCGUAAAGCGUCUGUAGGUGGUUACGCUAGUCGGCUGUUAAAGAUCAGGGCUGAACCCUGAGCAAGCAGUCGAAACUGCGUGGCUGGAGUACGGUAGGGGCAGAGGGAAUUCCCGGUGUAGCGGUGAAAUGCGUAGAUAUCGGGAGGAACGACCUGUGGCGAAAGCGGACUCACUGGACCAUAAC